UAGAAAUUAUUUAAAAUAAAAGUAGAAAAACAAAUGAUUAAAAUAAAAAUAUUAAAAUAUUAAAAAAAGUCAGGAUUUUUGCUUCUUACAAGUAGGGGUUUUAUUGGCCAAGGCAUUUUAUUUUUUUGCAGUGUUUGAACAUAUUUAUAAGUAGCCUAA
rnacentral:rRNA from 14 species